rnacentral:lncRNA from 1 species
ACCCUGAUUAGGCUUUGAGGGACUGUCUCUGCAAAAGCAGAGGAAGGAAGGACCGUGCAGCUGUGUAGAGUUGGAAUUGAUCCCUAAGGCUGGACAUGGGGCGGGAAAGCCCCAAGGCACUAAGACAAAGGGGGAAGGCAUGAAUGCCACGGACAUAUGUGGAGAUCAGAGGACAGCGUUCACGAGUCCUUCAAAAACAGCUGCCUUCUGAACAAGAGGUAGAACUCUCAGCUCCUCCAGCGCCAUGCCUGCCUAGAUGCUGCCAUGCUACCCGCCCUAAUAAUAAUGGAUUGAACCUCCGAACCUGUAAGCAAGCUCCAAUUGAAUGCUGUCCUUGAUAAGAGUUGCUGUGGUCAUGGUGUCUGUUCCCAGCAGUAAACCCUAACUAAGAUAAUCCCCAAACUGGAAAUGA